rnacentral:rRNA from 1 species
GAUGAACGCUGGCGGCGUGCCUAAUACAUGCAAGUCGAGCGAACGGACGAGAAGCUUGCUUCUCUGAUGUUAGCGGCGGACGGGUGAGUAACACGUGGAUAACCUACCUAUAAGACUGGGAUAACUUCGGGAAACCGGAGCUAAUACCGGAUAAUAUUUUGAACCGCAUGGUUCAAAAGUGAAAGACGGUCUUGCUGUCACUUAUAGAUGGAUCCGCGCUGCAUUAGCUAGUUGGUAAGGUAACGGCUUACCAAGGCAACGACGCAUAGCCGACCUGAGAGGGUGAUCGGCCACACUGGAACUGAGACACGGUCCAGACUCCUACGGGAGGCAGCAGUAGGGAAUCUUCCGCAAUGGGCGAAAGCCUGACGGAGCAACGCCGCGUGAGUGAUGAAGGUCUUCGGAUCGUAAAACUCUGUUAUUAGGGAAGAACAUAUGUGUAAGUAACUGUGCACAUCUUGACGGUACCUAAUCAGAAAGCCACGGCUAACUACGUGCCAGCAGCCGCGGUAAUACGUAGGUGGCAAGCGUUAUCCGGAAUUAUUGGGCGUAAAGCGCGCGUAGGCGGUUUUUUAAGUCUGAUGUGAAAGCCCACGGCUCAACCGUGGAGGGUCAUUGGAAACUGGAAAACUUGAGUGCAGAAGAGGAAAGUGGAAUUCCAUGUGUAGCGGUGAAAUGCGCAGAGAUAUGGAGGAACACCAGUGGCGAAGGCGACUUUCUGGUCUGUAACUGACGCUGAUGUGCGAAAGCGUGGGGAUCAAACAGGAUUAGAUACCCUGGUAGUCCACGCCGUAAACGAUGAGUGCUAAGUGUUAGGGGGUUUCCGCCCCUUAGUGCUGCAGCUAACGCAUUAAGCACUCCGCCUGGGGAGUACGACCGCAAGGUUGAAACUCAAAGGAAUUGACGGGGACCCGCACAAGCGGUGGAGCAUGUGGUUUAAUUCGAAGCAACGCGAAGAACCUUACCAAAUCUUGACAUCCUUUGACAACUCUAGAGAUAGAGCCUUCCCCUUCGGGGGACAAAGUGACAGGUGGUGCAUGGUUGUCGUCAGCUCGUGUCGUGAGAUGUUGGGUUAAGUCCCGCAACGAGCGCAACCCUUAAGCUUAGUUGCCAUCAUUAAGUUGGGCACUCUAAGUUGACUGCCGGUGACAAACCGGAGGAAGGUGGGGAUGACGUCAAAUCAUCAUGCCCCUUAUGAUUUGGGCUACACACGUGCUACAAUGGACGAUACAAAGGGCAGCGAAACCGCGAGGUCAAGCAAAUCCCAUAAAGUUGUUCUCAGUUCGGAUUGUAGUCUGCAACUCGACUACAUGAAGCUGGAAUCGCUAGUAAUCGUAGAUCAGCAUGCUACGGUGAAUACGUUCCCGGGUCU